rnacentral:rRNA from 1 species
ACGCUAAAGCUCGAAGGUGCGGGUAUCGAACAGGAUUAGAUACCCUGGUAGUCCGCACGGUAAACGAUGGAUGCCCGCUGUUUGCGAUAUACAGUAAGCGGCCAAGAGAAAUCGUUAAGCAUCCCACCUGGAGAGUACGCCGGCAACGGUGAAACUCAAAGGAAUUGACGGGGGCCCGCACAAGCGGAGGAACAUGUGGUUUAAUUCGAUGAUACGCGAGGAACCUUACCCGGGCUUGAACUGCAGCGGAAGGAAACAGAGAUGUUGACGUCCUUCGGGACCGCUGUGGAGGUGCUGCAUGGUUGUCGUCAGCUCGUGCCGUGAGGUGUCGGCUUAAGUGCCAUAACGAGCGCAACCCUUUUCAUCAGUUGCCAUCAGGUGAUGCUGGGCACUCUGUUGAUACUGCCACCGUAAGGUGUGAGGAAGGUGGGGAUGACGUCAAAUCAGCACGGCCCUUACGUCCGGGGCUACACACGUGUUACAAUGGGGGAUACAGAGAGCAGGCGGUACGCAAGUCGUGUCGAAUCCAGAAAGUCACCCUCAGUUCGGACUGGGGUCUGCAACCCGACCCCACGAAGCUGGAUUUCGCUAGUAAUCGCG